rnacentral:tRNA from 1 species
UGGAGAUGUAGCUCAGCGGUAGAGAACUUGCCUGGCAUGUAAGAGGCCCUGGGUUCAACCACCAGUACUGCAA